GCGACGACCAGGACCCCACGCUCAAGCCCCACGAGCUGGACGAGGUCGACAGCGAGGUCAUCUGCCCUGCCCACCAUGAUUUCCCAUAGAACAAGAAGGUGCCUCAUGUGGAUUUUAUGGCUUAAGCCAAGAGGAGAAAGAAAGUGCUCUGCAUAUGAAAAGAUACCAACAUUAUUGUUUCCAUGAAAUUGAUAAUAUAUGUGGCAUGUGUUUGUUUAUCUUUUCUGCAAGAGCAACUUGUGUCCUGAGACCUUCUAGUGGUACUGAGACCCAUAAAAAGAAAUUGUCUUCUUGCAUGAUCACUUACUGAAAAUAGGGACAAUUAGCUUUACUUCUGAGUACUUAGAAGUAGUUAAGUUAUCUAAGUUAUUAUGGGUACUGUUACAAUGUGCUUGUAUUGAACCAUCUAUCCAAGUUUAUUACUAACUCUGUAUGUGCUUCUCUGCACCUAUGCUUGCCUGUAUAUCUAUUUGCUUUAUGGACAUGACUCUUGUGUUUGUUUGCUUGUUGUACUGUGAUAAUUGCAAUGCUUAUUUAGCGACAAAAUUUGCUCUUAAUGUACUGUUGCAGGAUCUGGAUAUCUCUCAAAAUUUAGUACUUUCUCGUGUUGACUCUUAGUGUUUUUGUUAUGCAGGUUGGAAGAAAAGAAGAAGAUCCAGAGAAGAUCUUACUAAUAAGAUAGUUUUUAGGAAAAUACAUUUUUAGUUUUAGGUCAUUUCUUCUAAUUUCAUAUAUGGAGUGCUUGUCUUUAGUUUUUGUUUUGACUUUGUGAAACUUGCUAACUAUGGAUGAAACUGUGUAAUAUUGAUGAAACUAUGUAUAUGUAUGGAUGAAACUUGCUACUA